AACGCACCUUGCGCUCCUUGGUAUUCCGAGGAGCAUGCCUGUUUGAGUGUCAUUAAAUUCUCAACCCUUUCAGCUUUUGCGAGUUGAAUUGGCUUGGAUGUGGGGGUUUUGCGGGCUUCUUUCAGAAGUCGGCUCCUCUUAAAUGCAUUAGCGGAACCUUUGUGGACCAGCUUUGGUGUGAUAAUUAUCUACGCCAUGGCCGUGAAACAGCUUUACAUGGGGUUCAGCUUCUAACCGUCCAUUAACUUGGACAAUUUCUGACAUUUUGACCUCAAAUCAGGUAGGAUUACCCGCUGAACUUAA
rnacentral:misc_RNA from 1 species